rnacentral:lncRNA from 1 species
UUUUUUUUAUUUUAGUAAUAUGUAAUUUAAAGUGUAUUAAUUUAAUAUUAUAUAAUUUUUUUAACUUUUCAUUAAACUAUUAUAUAUAAAAAGCUUCAGAUAAUGCACCUAUAAUUUAUGAAAUAUUCACUUUACUACUCUUUAGUUUUAACUUUGUUGCUACCUUAACAAAAAAAAAUAAUAAAAAAAAGAAAAAAAAAAUAAAACUAUAGGGUACAAAAGUGAUACAUUUUAAAUUACAAGAUACUAAAGUGAGAAAGUGCGAAACUACAGGAGUGGUAUUUGAAGUUUUUUUCUAUGUGUCUAUAUUUAAAAAAUUGUUGUUCAAAUUGUAGCUGAAGAUUCAAUUUUAUUUAUUAAAAUUAUAUCUAAAUUAAUCAUAGUUUCAAAACAAUUAUACUAACUUUAAAUAAAAGAUCAUUUUAACUCCCUUAUCUAAUUUUAAAUAAAAAAU